rnacentral:rRNA from 1 species
UAAUACGAAGGGGGCUAGCGUUGUUCGGAAUUACUGGGCGUAAAGCGUGCGCAGGCCGCUCAUCAAGUCAGGGGUGAAAGCCCAGAGCUCAACUCUGGAAAUGCCUUUGAAACUGGUGAGCUUGAGUACGGGAGAGGUGAGUGGAAUUCCGAGUGUAGAGGUGAAAUUCGUAGAUAUUCGGAAGAACACCAGUGGCGAAGGCGGCUCACUGGACCGUAACUGACGCUCAUGCACGACAGCGUGGGGAGCAAACAGG